rnacentral:pre_miRNA from 1 species
GACUUCAACUGAAAAAGUCAUCAACAACAAAGUUGUAUAAUCCAUCGAGAUCUAUAAUUUUUAUUUUAGUCAUUUAUUCAUCCGACAAAGUGAUAGUAACAUUAUUCACAAAUUUUACAUAUCCCCCGUAUGGUUUCAUAAGUUAUAAGAGAGAUAUGUAAAAUUUUAGAACAACGUUACUAUCACUUUGUCGAAUGAAUAAAUGAUCAAAAUAAAAUUUGUAGAUCUCGAUCAGCUCUACAACUUUUGUGUUCAUGAAUUUUUCAGCUGAAAUC